GUAGGUUAGUCGAUACGCGUUUCACAAGUCGUCUUGUUUGUUUAAAUUGUAAAUAAUUUGGAACAUUGCGGUGGAUUCGAUCAACAAUCAAGUGCAUUUAGUGGCAAUGGACACGUUUUAUGUUUUGUUUUCAAUUUGUAACGAGUGGAACUUUCGGGAAUGUGCAGUUCAUAUCUGUUGCAAGUGAGUUUCCGUCGACCGUCGGAUAUUGAGCGUUAUGUUGUGAAUUCCUAGAUUACCCGAUGCAGGGGUAAGUUUGUAAAUAUUAUUACAUCAUUAUUACAUUUUGCUUUUUAAUCGCGUGUAGUGAAAGUAUCGUUAUAGUUUAAUAUUGUCGCGUGCCGUCGGAUACAUUUUUGGCCUCGCUGCAGAAAGUUGGUUUUAUUAUCUUUAUUCAUCUCACAUUUUUCUGUUGUUUUGCAAUCUUUAUUCUGUAAUCGCGUUGAUACGUCUAGUAGUUUGACAAUUAAUUACUAUCCGUAAAAAUGUAUGUAAUUCGCGAUUGCGUCGCAAAUAUAAUCUUUUAGUGG